UAUAAAAUAUAACAGUGAUGUCCGAUUUACGGCCUGCGGGCCACAUCCGGGCAGUGACGCGAUGCUAUGCGCCCAAGAUCUGCCCACAGUGUAUUAAGAAGCCAAUGAGACACAGUCCCAUUGGUCUUGGCGAUUUCUUUUUUUUUUUUUCGGCCUGUGACAAGCGUGCCGGAAAUCGAUAUGAACCCAAGAUUUAAAAUGUUUGAGCAUCACUGACAUACAAAACUAAAUCCAAGACGAGGCAGGGGGAAUACUACACAACAACACGGACUGUUUUGAGCUUUGCAGGUACUGCUGUGGACUGUGCAGUUCUGCCCAGUAGUUCAGCAUUGGUGCCUUCUUCUGAAACAAUAUCUCAGAGGCGUCACUUCGAAGAAGAAAAUAACUACAUUCUACACACCCAUGUGUCAAUCUAGCCGUGAGUGUUAAAGUCAUUGGUUCUCCUGUCUAAUUAUGGCAACCUGUUCCAUGCUCUAAAUGCGUUAAGAAAGAAGAGUGCUUGUAAGAAUAUGCCCAAGCAUAUUGAGGAAAUGCUCAUUUCUAAGCUCCUUUUGAGGCUGUACGUUGAGAUUCGUCUACACAUUUCAGAUUGGUUUUACAAUAUCGCUAACUACAGUUUACAAAUGGAAGUAUACACUACAGAAGAUAUUGGACAUGCGAUUUCUUUAAACUUAAAUCUGUUAAGAGAAUAGUGUAUACAUUAACUAUUAAACAGAAAAAAGCGGAUAUCGCCAAAGUUA